AUUGAACGCUGGCGGCAUGCCUUACACAUGCAAGUCGAACGGCAGCAUAGGAGCUUGCUCCUGAUGGCGAGUGGCGAACGGGUGAGUAAUAUAUCGGAACGUGCCCUAGAGUGGGGGAUAACUAGUCGAAAGAUUAGCUAAUACCGCAUACGAUCUACGGAUGAAAGUGGGGGAUCGCAAGACCUCAUGCUCCUGGAGCGGCCGAUAUCUGAUUAGCGAGUUGGUGAGGUAAAAGCUCACCAAGGCGACGAUCUGUAGCUGGUCUGAGAGGACGACCAGCCACACGGGGACUGAGACACGGCACAGACUCCUACGGGAGGCAGCAGUGGGGAAUUUUGGACAAUGGGGGCAACCCUGAUCCAGCAACGCCGCGUGAGUGAAGAAGGCCUUCGGGUUGUAAAGCUCUUUUGUCAGGGAAGAAACGGUUGAGGCUAAUAUCCUCGACUAAUGACGGUACCUGAAGAAUAAGCACCGGCUAACUACGUGCCAGCAGCCGCCGCGG
rnacentral:rRNA from 1 species